rnacentral:rRNA from 1 species
UACACAUGCAAGUCGAACGGCAGCAUGAUCUAGCUUGCUAGAUUGAUGGCGAGUGGCGAACGGGUGAGUAAUACAUCGGAACGUGCCCUGUAGUGGGGGAUAACUAGUCGAAAGAUUAGCUAAUACCGCAUACGACCUGAGGGUGAAAGUGGGGGACCGCAAGGCCUCAUGCUAUAGGAGCGGCCGAUGUCUGAUUAGCUAGUUGGUGAGGUAAAGGCUCACCAAGGCGACGAUCAGUAGCUGGUCUGAGAGGACGAUCAGCCACACUGGGACUGAGACACGGCCCAGACUCCUACGGGAGGCAGCAGUGGGGAAUUUUGGACAAUGGGGGCAACCCUGAUCCAGCAAUGCCGCGUGUGUGAAGAAGGCCUUCGGGUUGUAAAGCACUUUUGUCCGGAAAGAAAUCGCACUUACUAAUAUUAGGUGUGGAUGACGGUACCGGAAGAAUAAGGACCGGCUAACUACGUGCCAGCAGCCGCGGUAAUACGUAGGGUCCAAGCGUUAAUCGGAAUUACUGGGCGUAAAGCGUGCGCAGGCGGUUGUGCAAGACCGAUGUGAAAUCCCCGGGCUUAACCUGGGAAUUGCAUUGGUGACUGCACGGCUAGAGUGUGUCAGAGGGGGGGUAGAAUUCCACGUGUAGCAGUGAAAUGCGUAGAGAUGUGGAGGAAUACCGAUGGCGAAGGCAGCCCCCUGGGAUAACACUGACGCUCAUGCACGAAAGCGUGGGGGGCAAACAGGANUAGAUACCCUGGGUAGUCCACGCCCUAAACGAUGUCAACUAGUUGUUGGGGAUUCAUUUCCUUAGUA